CAACAUGGUAGCCAUUCUCUACUCUGCAAGCCUGUCUUUAUGUCAUCUCUCACUCACUAUUUCUCUUUAGCACUUUCUCCUUGUUCUUAGGAUGAAGGCACAAUUUUGUAACACCCUCCAGUUGUGGCUUUCGGAUGGAUACAGUGUAUCACAUUAUCAAGUCAGGAGGCUUUACUGCUCACUUUCUUGGAGACCACACUGGUGUAUCUGAAAGGUCACUGGGCUGGGAGGAAGAGAGACAGGUCCUGUUUCAGACUGUAACUUUACUUUCCUCAUUUAUGAAAUGAAGGUGUUAUCUAAGGAUCAUUCAGGUUCUAAGAAGGCCUUGUCCUAGGAAGGUGCUAACGAUUUUCUAGUACUGUGCUGUGGUGAGAGAAGGAAGAUGAGCAUCAAUAGACAUUUCAGAAACAUACCAUCUGCCAUGACUUUUACAACAAUUCAAAAAGAAUGAUAACAACCGAAAAAUUUCUGAUCAAAGCCGUGGCUGAAUUUAUGAAUUUGAUUUUCAUGCAAAUUCAGCCCUGAACAUGAAGUGAGUCGUGAAAUGGAAUUUGAAGGGGUCGUGCUCCAUGCUCAAGACUGACUGAAACAUCCAUCUGCCCAGCUCUCUACCCAAGCCCCCAUGCUCACAAAGAAGAUCUCAUUCAGGCUGAUGUUUAUCAGCUGCUGUAAAAUGGACUUAAUCAUUUGAAAAUAGGAAAAUGAAGUUGUCUUUAGACUGGUAAUGAAACUCCUAUUUGUUUUGGAGACUUUUCC
rnacentral:lncRNA from 1 species